UUGUUUCUUCAUUUCGUGCUUGCAUUAAAAAAAAUGGGGUUUUAAGAGCAUUGUUUUUAGUUUAUAUCAUUUGCAUAUUUAAUUGUUGCAUCUUAAGAAAAUUCAAAAAAAAAUAUCCUUGUUAAUUUGUUUUCAUAUUUACUUUCCAUUUGUGUUAUUAUCAUUACAUAUUAUCUUCAUUUCGUGUUUGCUUUGAGAAAACCAAAAAAAAAAUCAUUUUGCAUAAUUAAUUUCAUUUCGG
rnacentral:lncRNA from 1 species